rnacentral:rRNA from 1 species
GCUAAUACCCCAUAUGCCGCAAGGUAAAAGGAUGUAUCCACCUUAGGAAGAGCUCGCGCCUGAUUAGCUAGUUGGUGAGGUAAUAGCUCACCAAGGCCAUGAUCAGUAGCUGGUUUGAGAGGACGAUCAGCCACACUGGGACUGAGACACGGCCCAGACUCCUACGGGAGGCAGCAGUGGGGAAUUUUCCGCAAUGGGCGAAAGCCUGACGGAGCAAUACCGCGUGAGGGAUGACAGCCUGUGGGUUGUAAACCUCUUUUCUCAAGGAAGAAGUUCUGACGGUACUUGAGGAAUAAGCAUCGGCUAACUCUGUGCCAGCAGCCGCGGUAAUACAGAGGAUGCAAGCGUUAUCCGGAAUCACUGGGCAUAAAGCGUCUGUAGGUUGUUUGAUAAGUCUGCUGUUAAAGACUAGGGCUUAACCCUAGGACAGCAGUGGAAACUGUUAGACUUGAGUGUGGUAGAGGUAGAGGGAAUUCCUAGUGUAGCGGUGAAAUGCGUAGAUAUUAGGAAGAACACCAAUGGCGAAAGCACUCUACUGGGCCAUAACUGACACUGAGAGACGACAGCUAGGGGAGCAAAUGGGAUUAGAUA